ACAUACAAUGACUCUCGGCAACGGAUAUCUCGGCUCUUGCAUCGAUGAAGAACGUAGCGAAAUGCGAUAGUUGGUGUGAAUUGCAGAAUCCCGUGAACCAUCGAGUCUUUGAACGCAAGUUGCGCCCGAAGCCAUUAGGCCGAGGGCACGCCUGCCUGGGUGUCACAC
rnacentral:rRNA from 1 species